UACGUAGGGGGCUAGCGUUGUCCGGAAUUAUUGGGCGUAAAGCGUCCGCAGGUGGCACCUCAAGUCUGCUGUCAAAGACCGGGGCUUAACCCCAGAAAGGCAGUGGAAACUGAAGUGCUAGAGUGCAGUAGGGGUAGAGGGAAUUCCCGGUGUAGCGGUGAAAUGCGUAGAUAUCGGAAGGAACAUCGAGUGGCGAAAGCGAACUUCCUGGCCAAUACUG
rnacentral:rRNA from 1 species